UGACACAGUUUUAUUUAAACUCAUGCCAAAAGUUCAUCUAUUUUAAAUAAUUGUGUAGAUUUUGUGGUUCCACCAAAGAAAAUAACUUAGAACUCAGAAAACCAAUAUAUGGCUGGAGAAUCUUGUAUGAGUGUUGUGCAGCUUCCGGUAAGACAAUUAUCUUCAUCAGUUAUACAAUAUAGUGCAUCUAAAAACAUCUUCGAGACACCACGAAAGGCUUCAACAGUUCUAUUUGAUUCUGAUGAGGUUUCUCACUUAAGGACCUUUUUUAGUAUAUCUACUUUGAACUUUUUACACAAGUAAAAACAAUGAUAUUUUUAAAGAGCACCUGAAAAAUUAUAUUCUUCAGUAUUCUCAAGUUGCUCUUCCUUCAGACAGUUGGCACUUCUUUUAAAUUUUCAAAACUAUUUGGAACCUUCGUCUGAUAAUCUGCUCGAUGAAUUAAAGGUACCUGCAAAGUAUGGUCCGCAAGUUCUGUAUAACUUAACACAAUAUGGCGUUCACAGUAGAUCAGGGUGUGAAAUGAUCAACACAGAGUUACGGACGGUCAAAAAGGUUUUAUGCGUUAUUGUUUGCAUAUACUAUUUGUUAGACCUCUCUUAUCCAUCUUCUUUUUACAACUGAUGGGUCUUUUUCAUGAGGUGUUGCUAAACGAAUGCUUUGAAAAAAAAUCAAAAAAGACUUGCUCUUAUAUUGCUCAUAUAAACGGUUAACUAAAUUUUUGGAUGUCUUUAAGUAACGCUAGUUGUUUACUUUACUAAUUUAUUAAAAUGUUUCAUUUUAUAUUUAAGUUGUUACUUAAAGAACAAGUCGGGAUAUAAAGCUUUCAUUGAAAUAAUUAAUUCUGUAAAGUUUUGAAAAUGUAUUUAUUGACACAUGUUUAAAAAUAUGAAACCUAUUUCUUAGUUUGAGCA